CCUACGGGGAGCAGCAGUGGGGAAUAUUGGACAAUGGGCGAAAGCCUGAUCCAGCCAUGCCGCGUGUGUGAAGAAGGCCUUCGGGUUGUAAAGCACUUUCAGUGGGGAAGAAAGCCUUGGGGCUAAUACCCUCGAGGAAGGACAUCACCCACAGAAGAAGCACCGGCUAACUCCGUGCCAGCAGCCGCGGUAAUACGGAGGGUGCGAGCGUUAAUCGGAAUUACUGGGCGUAAAGCGCGCGUAGGCGGUCUAAUAAGCCGGUUGUGAAAGCCCCGGGCUCAACCUGGGAACGGCAUCCGGAACUGUCAGGCUAGAGUGCAGGAGAGGAAGGUAGAAUUCCCGGUGUAGCGGUGAAAUGCGUAGAGAUCGGGAGGAAUACCAGUGGCGAAGGCGGCCUUCUGGACUGACACUGACGCUGAGGUGCGAAAGCGUGGGUAGCAAACAGGAUUAGAUACCCGAGUAGUC
rnacentral:rRNA from 1 species